AUUGAACGCUGGCGGGAGGCCUAACACAUGCAAGUCGAACGAGUGGCGGACGGGUGAGUAAUAUCUGGGAACCUGCCUAGUGGAGGGGGAUAACUACUGGAAACGGUAGCUAAUACCGCAUACAAUUGGAUGUGCCGAGAUGGGAUUAGCUAGUAGGUGGGGUAAAGGCUCACCUAGGCGACGAUCCCUAGCUGGUCUGAGAGGAUGACCAGCCACACUGGAACUGAGACACGGUCCAGACUCCUACGGGAGGCAGCAGUGGGGAAUAUUGCACAAUGGGCGCAAGCCUGAUGCAGCCAUGCCGCGUGUAUGAAGAAGGCCUUCGGGUUGUAAAGUACUUUCAGCGGGGAGGCGUUACCCGCAGAAGAAGCACCGGCUAACUCCGUGCCAGCAGCCGCGGUAAUUC
rnacentral:rRNA from 1 species